rnacentral:lncRNA from 10 species
GACGAGGCCCAGCAAAGUCUGUGGAGCUGGAGGAUGCCACGCCCAUUCAGGACGAAAUGCAGAAGGACGCUGCAGAGCCUGCUUCUCUGUUCCUUCGCCUCACUGGGGCAGACCAGCUGCGGCCAGCCUGUGCCCACUCCUCGCGGACCUGGGUACUGCUUCCAGAGAUCCUUCAGUCCUGGGAGUUUAAUCAUUCUGUCCCGGCCUCUUUGCUCCCAGCCCUCCCCUGGCAGUUGCUGCUCUAUUGUUCUAGCUCAGUUUUCACUUUUUGCCCUUGCAAUGCACAAGGGUUAGCAAUUCUUGAUGGUACAGUCUCUCUGUUCGAAGAGCUGGGGUGGUUUCUACUUCUAGCUGGACCCUGAGUGAUCCUUCAGGCAGGGGUCUCUGCGACUGGAGACAUGCUGUGUGCAUGAGGUCCCAUGUACACUCAGAUUGCAUCCCCCAUCCCUGCCCAGCCCUGAGAGGCAGGCGAGACAGUCCCCCUCUCACCAUCUCUGGGGUGGGCCUGGAUUUAUUGGCUGAAGAAUUACACCCUCUUUGAUGGUAUGCAGUUUAAUUCCGUAGAUCAAAGCUAUGUCUAGAUUUUAAAUAAAUGAUAGGGAUUUAAAAUUGUAUAUAAAA